UGUCUGAUGGAGCACGCCGCGUGAGUGAAGAAGGGUUUCGGCUCGUAAAACUCUGUUGUUAAAGAAGAACAUAUCUGAGAGUAACUGUUCAGGUAUUGACGGUAUUUAACCAGAAAGCCACGGCUAACUACGUGCCAGCAGCCGCGGUAAUACGUAGGUGGCAAGCGUUGUCCGGAUUUAUUGGGCGUAAAGCGAGCGCAGGCGGUUUUUUAAGUCUGAUGUGAAAGCCUUCGGCUCAACCGAAGAAGUGCAUCGGAAACUGGGAAACUUGAGUGCAGAAGAGGACAGUGGAACUCCAUGUGUAGCGGUGAAAUGCGUAGAUAUAUGGAAGAACACCAGUGGCGAAGGCGGCUGUCUGGUCUGUAACUGACGCUGAGGCUCGAAAGUAUGGGUAGCAAACAGGAUUAGAUACCCUGGUAGUCCAUACCGUAAACGAUGAAUGCUAAGUGUUGGAGGGUUUCCGCCCUUCAGUGCUGCAGCUAACGCAUUAAGCAUUCCGCCUGGGGAGUACGGCCGCAAGGCUGAAACUCAAAGGAAUUGACGGGGGCCCGCACAAGCGGUGGAGCAUGUGGUUUAAUUCGAAGCUACGCGAAGAACCUUACCAGGUCUUGACAUACUAUGCAAAUCUAAGAGAUUAGACGUUCCCUUCGGGGACAUGGAUACAGGUGGUGCAUGGUUGUCGUCAGCUCGUGUCGUGAGAUGUUGGGUUAAGUCCCGCAACGAGCGCAACCCUUAUUAUCAGUUGCCAGCAUUAAGUUGGGCACUCUGGUGAGACUGCCGGUGACAAACCGGAGGAAGGUGGGGAUGACGUCAAAUCAUCAUGCCCCUUAUGACCUGGGCUACACACGUGCUACAAUGGAUGGUACAACGAGUUGCGAACUCGCGAGAGUAAGCUAAUCUCUUAAAGCCAUUCUCAGUUCGGAUUGUAGGCUG
rnacentral:rRNA from 2 species